UCAGGCAGAGUGCUUCUAUCGUAAGAAGUAGGGUCAUUGGAAGAGGAACUAUUCUCAAUACGUAGCUUUUCUUGAUCUAAACAGACCAAAGAAAAAGAAGCAAUUAGUUGUUGGACAAGGUAAUUAUUGGGUACAAAAUACCCCAACAGCCGAAGUUCGCACCAGGAGUGACCCUCCGGGGAUUCCGCCAACUUCCGACCUUCGACGGCAUCUCUUCGAACCUCUCUGGCGGCCGAGCCUCCGCAACAUUCCCAAGUUUUACCAACGGAUCAACCCCCGCCAGCGUCAACCAGAUUCUUCACGGCAGACGGGCUCCUACGGGAGCCGGA
rnacentral:lncRNA from 1 species